CCAUUUUGGGGAAAAAAAAAAUUAUGACAAACAAAAAGCAAAAAAAUAAUUUUCAAAACUGCUACAAAUUAGAAUAUUCCUUUGAGAAGAAUAACAGCCUUUAUAUUCUCCCAGUUGCCUAUCUUUCUAGCUGCAUCACAUAUUUCUCUUAUUUAUGUCCCCUGUCUAUUGAUUGUGGAUCAUAUUCAGUAUUGUAUGUUGUUUUGUGAAGAGGUGGUAGAAGCUCUUUCUGAGAGCUUAAAGCAAAGCUGAAAAUAAGGCAGUUACUGACUGUAUGUAACAUAUGUCAUGUGACUAAGAAAAUGAGCUCUCUGAGAAGGAGAGGCUAAGUUGCUCUGUGGAGCAGCAGAUUGCUUUGAGAAAGUGAAAUAUUCAAGAUGCUUUGAUGCUGGGAGCCUCCUCACAACAGAAGAAUGUUCCUUUGGCCUCACAGAGUUAGCUUGAGUCCUGCACAUGCAUGUAACAGAGUAGAUUAUUUUGCCUAGUUGUGUCAUCUUUUCUUCUUGGGGGAACAGUUCAUGCCUUCAGUAUAGCAGGCAGUAGGGCCUGCUCUGCAGUUGUUCUGCACAUAUGACUUCACUUUCACCAUCAGAGUAACUGAGUGUUUAAGACCAAGGUAGGUUUUUAUUUUCCAUACAUGUUUGCAAACACAGGGCUGUGUGGCUCAAUUGGUAAAUUGAGCACCAAGAGCCACUGAAAUAUGGAUCACUUACCUGUUGGGUGAGGUCCCUGCUGAGGCAGCUCCAUCAUGCCUCCUCCUCAUGUUAACAGCCCUAGCUUCAGGGGUCUCCAGAGAGCUUUGUCUACUUGCAGGAGCUAAGGAUUUGGUCCAGAAUAUACACAAGUAGGUAAACAGCUUGUUUUUUGUUCAUUUGCUUUAAUGUAAUGACUUUUCUGCAGACAAUAAUUUGUAACCAACUUAAGCACUGGUAACCUUAAGCAACAUUUAAUUGGUUUUCAUGCAUCUUAGCCAUCUAACAGGUUUUAUUUGGCUUUCCACAACAAAAAAUAUACUUCUGGUUUUGUUCUUUUUCCAAAUGCUUCCCCGUCCUUCUCCAGACAUCAAAGAGAAUAACAAAACUCCAAUAAAAGGUGGAGGUGUUUUGUUUUGUUUUUUUAAUCUCUUUUUUUUUUUUUUUUUAAAAGAAACGAGAAGGUAAUGUAUGAAUAAAGUGUGUGAUGUAAGGAAAUUAUUAUUACAUCCUUCUAUCAAAAGAGGUUCUACAGUGGAACAUGCAGGACUGGUGAUUUCCUUAGAACUUUCCAAUAUACAUUUGUGUUGUAUAUAAUGUAUGUUGUUUCAGGUUCUCCAAAGGCUUGUGAAAAUGUGUAAUCUGUGCUUGAUGAAUCUCAUUGAUCCCUGAUAAAUUUUCUCUUUUUGAAAGUGAAGACAUGUGAGGUUAGUUCUGUAGGUUUUACCAUUGUUCUUUCUACAGAUCUCAGUCCUGAAAACCCAGCAGUGGAUUUGGAAGUAAAGGUGAAUUGUUCCUGUCCUAUAUCCUUUGACAGCAAAAUUCUGCACGCUAACAUUCACUUGUAGCUAUCAUGAUGUCACUGUUGUAAGUCAGUAAGGUUGUACAGGUGGACACUUUAGUUUGGGGGGAAAAAAUUAACAAAAAGAUCCAUCCUGUAUCUUAGCCAUAAAAUACUGACCCUUGCAGGCUGAUUUCUGUGAAUUCAUCCUCUGGAAUGGCACUAAUGCAGCAUACGUGGGAAGUUAUGAGGCUCCAGCAAACCCACAUUUAAGCAAAGAAUCAGCACAGUCUACUAGGAAAUGCUGAGAAAAACAAAACUGAAUCCAACCAAAUGGUGGCAGAGGUCCUAUAUAGGCUUGAUGUGUAUGUAGGGCCUCCUUUCAGUAUCGAAGGGGCUGUAAGGAGGGGGACAGACUCUUUAGCAGGGUCUGCUGUGACAGGACGAGGGGAAAUGGUUUCACACUAAAAGACAGGAGAUUUAGAUUGGACGUAAGGAGGAAGUGUUUUACACUAAGGGUGGUGAAGCACUGUCACAGGUCGCCCAGAGAGGUGGUGGAUGCCCCAUCCCUGGAGACAGCCAAGGUCAGGCUGGAGGGGCUCUGAGCUCCUGAUGGAGCUGUAGGUGUCCCUGUUCAGUGCAGGGCAGCUGGACCGGAUGGCCUGCAAAGGUUCCUUAAACUCAGAUGAUUCUAGGAUUCUGUGGUACUGCUGUUCAUUCGUGCAGUACCCCAAGCCCACGCAUGUCCAGGAGAGAAGUAUGCUGGUGUGAGGGCAGCAAUCCUCCCUCCCUCUUCCCUGGAUGGAGAAAGUACCCCGACACUGUCACUGUCUGGAGCUCAACUUCAUGCUCGCAAUUCAAAAUUGGAAGUCUGCUAUUUGAUGUCUUAAUCACCUUAUGCCUCUCAGAGGGCUAACCAGGGUACACUUUCGUUUGAAUUCAACAGAAGUGGCUUCAGAGGGGCAGAGUGAUUAUGAACAUGGUCUCCCAAAGAAGACCCAAGUUUUAGCCUCAAAGACUUCAAGCCUGAGACUUCAGCUUCCUAGAAGAAUGCCUAAGCCUAGGGUUAGGGAUAAGGAGCCACAGGCUGCUGAGCCACUGAAGGCACUUCCUGCCAUAAGCUUGGCUGGGAGGGCUUGGGUUGAGCUGCAUCCUCCUCUAAAUGCCUGCACCCUUCAAGGGCUGACAAUGUGGGUGUGCGUUGAGGCUCACAGCUGAGCUCAGAGCCAGUGGGUGACUGAGAGUUUCCAAACGCAGGACUGCAUUGUGAGUGGGUGUAACUCCUCUCACAGGCUGUGGGUGCAGCCCUCAGGCUCCACAAUGUUCACCAAACAUGUAAUGGCUAAGUUGUGGAUCCCGUCAUGCAUUCCCUGUUCCCUUGCAGGAUGCCCUCAGUAAGGAAGGCUUUUAUUAUUAUUAUUACAUUACUCAUUUCCUAGAAGAGGACUGCACUUUUAAAAAUAAAUGUGAUGAUGUCAGAGGGGAUGGAUGCAGCAGGCACAUCUGUGAGCUCCACUUCUUGCAGCUCCUCUUCAGCAGACACACACCUGUCAGCUUGGGAGGUCUCCUUCCCACAGACCAUCUCUGCAGAGGAGUUGCUGGGGCUGUACCCUGUUGCACGGGCUCUGUGUCUGAGGGUGGGAAGCACACAGUGUGGUACUGAAGCCGUGGCUGUGCACGAGGUGUGCUGCAAAGUCGGGAAGAAGGAAGCGCUCUGCUCUGUGCUGUGGGCACGCUCAGCUCAUAAGCCUGCUCUUCAGAGUGAAAUAAGCAUGGUACGGGAACAUUCUUGCUGGUUCUGGGCCUGUUCAGAAUGUAAACUCUGAAUGUAGAGUGGACGGAUGCAAGCUGCUUGUGUGUCUCUGUGAGCUAACUGGUGAUGGUUUAUUCCCACAAUAGCUCAAAUAAAUCCUUCU